rnacentral:lncRNA from 10 species
UGGGAUUACAGGCGUGAGCCACUGCGCCCGGCCAGCUUAAUUUCACUUUGAGCAUAUAAAUACAAUUUCAUUUAUAAGCACAUUUGGAGUAUGUCCUUUGCCAUAAAGUAUCAUCUCCAGCAAGGAACUGGUGAACUUUAUUCCAUUUAAGGCAAAUCCUCAGAAUCCAUUCUGCCUUUCCAAACACUUGUCUCCUAAAGGCUAGUAUCUGGGCCACACAUUUCUCCUUUUGCUACACCUUAUUGAACAACUUGCAUUUCCAAAACUGUUGGCUGCAGCUUCUGUAAGAUUGACAUAGAAUCUCUGCUAGAAAAGACCCUCCCCAGAAUAAAACAAACCAACCAAAAAACUACCACAUACUUCCAUUUAGGACAGAGUAUAUCAAAAUGAGAAAGAACCUCCUCAUUUUCACACAGUGGAUUACUUAUUUAGUUACUGCAGUAACUUUAGAGAAAUAGUUUAGCAGUUUAGGCCAGGAACUGUGGUUCUCACGCCUGUAAUCUCAGCAACAAGGCCGAGGAGGGAGGGAGGAUAGUUUGAGGCCAGGAGUUUGAGAAAUAGUUUAGCAGUUUAAAUAAAGCAGUGGCUUGUCCUAAGAGUCUUUCAGUUGAUUCUCUCUGUGUUUCUUAUUCUGGUCAGGUAGCUCUGGACAAAUGACAGUAUUUCAGUAUUUUAAUUUCUCGUUUUUAAAAAUAGAGUUAUACAGCCAAAGAAAAACCAGUAAAAAUCUUGAUUAAUUGCAAAAUCAUUGUUAAAAUGUUUCACAGCAUAAAUAACAGCUUUUGUGGGCGGGGGGGGGGGGUGGUGGGGUGCAAUUUAUCAACAUCUUCCAAAAUGUUAAAUGCAAAUGUCUUUUGACUCAGCAGUUCUACUUUUGAGGUAUCUGAAGACCCACACAUGCCUGAGAGAAAUGUACAGAUGUUCAGCGCAGUACUGUUAAACAGCAAAAAAUAGGAAACAAUCUAAAUGUCCAUCAGUAAGGGAAUGAUGAAAAAUAUUAUGGAUCAUAUACAAGUGAGAUCGAAAAAAGAAAAAAUAUGUAUUAUGGAGCACCAUACUGUGGAAUGUCACGUACAUGACUGAAUUAUAUUCUGGAGUGUGGCAUAUUAUGUUUGUGUCAUUCCAUGUUGUAUGGUUAUCUGUCAUGAUGUAUCGUGAAACAAGCAAUUCUAUAACAGAGCACUAUUUUGCCUCAUUACUCUGGGAGCAAUGUGGCAUAGACCCAUGGAAUUUCCCAAGUUGUGGCAAGUGUUAUUAGCACUGCCUUGGUAUUAAGAGGACAAGAAAAUGAACCACCAUCUUUUGCUGGAUAGACAAUCAAAUCACUUUCUGGCUUUUAUCUACUUUUAAAAUACAUUUCAAGGGUCAUUUGAAAAUGACACAAAGCACAAAUAUGAAAAGAAAUUCAAAUAUUAUCACACUCCCUAAUAAAACAGCCUAAUUACCAAAGGCUCACAUUUUAGCAAGUUAAUUCUAAGACUUAAGCUGUGUACGGUGUGUGCAAAUUUGCAGAUACCUUACCAUCACAUGCAAGUGUCUUACUGCUACUGAAAGCUAUCAGACCCUUUCAGGAGGCGUGUUGUACCAAGCAGACCUAAAUGUGAACUUUCAUCAAGGACCUUUUUAGGAGGCGUAUUGUACCAAGCAGACCUAAAUGUGAACUUUCAUCAAGGACUAUGUGAUGUCAAGCAAGGCAGUACCCAUGUAUUUCAUUCAAAAACCAGUUGUCUCUCCUGUGUUUUUUUUUUUUUUUUGAGAUGGAGUCUUGCUCUGUCACCCAGGCUGGAGUGCAGUGGCACAAUCUCGGCUCACUGCAACCUCCGCCUCCCGGGUUCACGCCAUUCUCCUGCCUCAGCCUCCUGAGUUACUGGGACUACAGGCGCCCAGCACCACGCUUGGCUAAUUUUUUGUAUUUUUAGUAGAGGCGGGGUUUCACCACGUUAGCCAGGAUGGUCUCAAUCUCCUGACCUCGUGAUCUGCCCGCCUUGGCCUCCCAAAGUGCUGGGAUUACAGGCGUGAGCCACUGCGCCCGGCCUCUCCUGUAGUUUUCAACAUAGUUAAAUCCUACAAUGUCUGAGCAAUGGUUACAAUUCCUUAGGUAGUAAGGGAAAUACCUGUUGAAUGGCAGUUUGUGUUACAUGGGCGCUUUUCUUAUCUUUAUCAUUUAAUCAUUACCCCUCGGGUACACAGGACACACAAAUUUCAUUUUUCAGAUUUCACUUUA